GUGAGCUGAUCACAGACAGGUGAGCUGAUCACAGACAGGUGUGCUGAUGACAGACAGGUGAGCUGAUAACAGACAGGUAAACUGAUAACAGACAGGUGAGCUGAUAACAGACAGGUAAACUGAUGACAGACAGGUGAGCUGUUCAUAGACAGGUGAGCUGAUAACAGACAGGUAAACUGAUGACAGACAGGUGAGCUGAUGACAGACAGGUAAACUGAUGACAGACAGGUGAGCUGAUAACAGACAGGUGAGCUAAUAACAGACAGGUGUGCUGAUGACAGACAGGUAAACUGAUGAUAGACAGAUGUGCUGAUCACAGACAGGU